AGUAAAAAGUAGAAUAAUAGAUUUGAAAUAUUUAUUAUAUAGAUUUAAAGAGAUAAUCAUGGAGUAUAAAAUUAUUAAAAAUAAGUUUUAUAAAACUUAUUUUUAAUAAUAACUAUUAAUAGAAUUAGGUUACAAAUAAAUUAAUAAUAAUUAAUUUUAAAACCUAAAGGGAAACCUUAAUAUUAAUAAUAUAUAUUAUUUAUAUUAUUAAUAUGAUAAUAACUAAGUGAACUGAAACAUCUAAGUAACUUAAGGAGAAUAAAUCAACAGAGAUAUUAUGAGUAUUGGUGAGAGAAAAUAAUAAAGGUCUAAUAAGUAUUAUGUAAUAAAUAUGUAAGAAAAUAGGAUAACAAAUUCUAAGACUAAAUACUAUUAAUAAGUAUAAAAAGUACCGUAAGGGAAAGUAUGAAAAUGAUUAUUUUAUAAGCAAUCAUGAAUAUAAUUUUUAUAUUAAUGAUGUACCUUUUGUAUAAUGGGUCAGCAAGUAAUUAAUAUUAGUAAAACAAUAAAGUUAUAAAAAAAUAGAAAAAAAUAUAUAUAUAUAUAAAAAUAUAUUAAAAUAUUUAAUUAAUAUUAAUUGACCCGAAAGCAAACGAUCUAACUAUGAUAAGAUGGGUAAACGAUCGAACAGGUUGAUGUUGCAAUAUCAUCUGAUUAAUUGUGGUUAGUAGUGAAAGACAAAUCUGGUUUGCAGAUAGCUGGUUUUCUAUGAAAUAUAUGUAAGUAUAGCCUUUAUAAAUAAUAAUUAUUAUAUAAUAUAAUAUUAUAUUAUAUUAUAUUAUAUUAUAUAAAGAAUGGUACAGCAAUUAAUAUAUAUUAGGGAACUAUAAAAGUUUUAUUAAUAAUAUUAAAUCUCGAAAUAUUUAAUUAUAUAUAAUAAAGAGUCAGAUUAUGUGCGAUAAGGUAAAUAAUCUAAAGGGAAACAGCCCAGAUUAAGAUAUAAAGUUCCUAAUAAAUAAUAAGUGAAAUAAAUAUUAAAAUAUUAUAAUAUAAUCAGUUAAUGGGUUUGACAAUAACCAUUUUUUAAUGAACAUGUAACAAUGCACUGAUUUAUAAAAUAAAAUAAUAUUUAAAAUCAAAUAUAUAUAUAUAUAUAUUUGUUAAUAGAUAAUAUACGGAUCUUAAUAAUAAGAAUUAUUUAAUUCCUAAAAUGGAAUAUCAUAUUUAUUAAUAAUAAUAAAAAAUAUGAAUACUGAAUAUCUAAAUAUUAUUAUUAAUAAAAAGUAAUAAUAAUAAUAUGGUAAUAGAACAUUUAAUGAUAAUAUAUAUUAGUUAUUAAUUAAUAUAUGUAUUAAUUAAAUAGAGAAUGCUGACAUGAGUAACGAAAAAAAGGUAUAAACCUUUUCACCUAAAACAUAAGGUUUAACUAUAAAAGUACGGCCCCUAAUUAAAUAAUAAGAAUAUAAAUAUAUUUAAGAUGGGAUAAUCUAUAUUAAUAAAAAUUAUCUUAAAAUAUAUAUAUAUAUAUAUAAAAAUAUAUUAAUAUAUAAUAAAUAUAUAUAUAUAUAUAAUUAUAUUAUAUUUAAUAUAAACUAAUAAAGAUCAGGAAAAAUAUUAAUGUAUACCGUAAUGUAGACCGACUCAGGUAUGUUAGUAGAGAAUAUGAAGGUGAAUUAGAUAAUUAAAGGGAAGGAACUCGGCAAAGAUAGCUCAUAAGUUAGUCAAUAAAGAGUAAUAAGAACAAAGUUGUACAACUGUUUACUAAAAACACCGCACUUUGCAGAAACGAUAAGUUUAAGUAUAAGGUGUGAACUCUGCUCCAUGCUUAAUAUAUAAAUUAAAUUAUUUAACGAUAAUUUAAUUAAAUUUAGGUAAAUAGCAGCCUUAUUAUGAGGGUUAUAAUGUAGCGAAAUUCCUUGGCCUAUAAUUGAGGUCCCGCAUGAAUGACGUAAUGAUACAACAACUGUCUCCCCUUUAAGCUAAGUGAAAUUGAAAUCGUAGUGAAGAUGCUAUGUACCUUCAGCAAGACGGAAAGACCCUAUGCAGCUUUACUGUAAUUAGAUAGAUCGAAUUAUCGUUUAUUAUAUUCAGCAUAUUAAGUAAUCCUAUAUUUUAUAGGUAAUCGUUUAGAUAUUAAUGAGAUACUUAUUAUAAUAUAAUGAUAAUUCUAAUCUUAUAAAUAAAAAAAAUUAAUAAUAAUAAUAAUUAUUAUUAUUAUUAUUAAUAAUACUUAAUAGAUAUAUUAUUCUUAAGUAAUAUAUAAUAAUAUUAUUAUAUAUAUAUAUAAGAGACAAUCUCUAAUUGGUAGUUUUGAUGGGGCGUCAUUAUCAGCAAAAGUAUCUGAAUAAGUCCAUAAAUAGAUAUAUAAAAUUAUUGAAUAAAAAUAAUAUAUAUUAUAUAUAUUAAUUAUAAAUUGAAAUAUAUUUAUAUUUAAUUCUAUAACCAAUAAUUUGGUAAUUAGAAUCCUUUUUUAAGGAGUGAAUAUAUUUUAGUAAUAGAUAAAAAUAUGUACAGUAAAAUUGUAAGGAAAACAAUAAUAACUUUCUAUAAAAAAAAUAUUAUAUUUAUGAUUUAUAAAUAUGGAAAGAAUUAUAUUAAUAUAAUGGUAUAACUGUGCGAUAAUUGUAACACAAACGAGUGAAACAAGUACGUAAGUAUGGCAUAAUGAACAAAUAACACUGAUUGUAAAGGUUAUUGAUAACGAAUAAAAGUUACGCUAGGGAUAACAGGGUAAUAUAACGAAAGAGUAGAUAUUGUAAGUUAUGUUUGCCACCUCGAUGUCGACUCAACAUUUCCUCUUGGUUGUAAAAGCUAAGAAGGGUUUGACUGUUCGUCAAUUAAAAUGUUACGUGAGUUGGGUUAAAUACGAUGUGAAUCAGUAUGGUUCCUAUCUGCUGAAGGAAAUAUUAUCAAAUUAAAUCUCAUUAUUAGUACGCAAGGACCAUAAUGAAUCAACCUAUGGUGUAUCUAUUGAUAAUUAUAUAAUAUAUUAAUAAUAAUUUUAUAAUUAAUAUAUUAUCUAUAUUAGUUUAUAUUUCUCCUACCGGGGUUCCGGUUAUCUACUGAAACCGGAACUAUAUAUUAAUUAUCAUAGUAGAUAAGCUAAGUUGAUAAUAAAUAAAUAUUGAAUACAUAUUAAAUAUGAAGUUGUUUUAAUAAGAUAAUUAAUCUGAUAAUUUUAUACUAAAAUUUAAUAAUUAAUAGGUUUUAUAUAUUAUUUAUAUAUAUAUAAUUAUAUUAAAUAUAUAUAUAAUAUUAAUAAAAUACUAAUUUAUCAGUUAUCUAUAUAAUAUCUAAUCUAUUAUUCUAAUAAUA
rnacentral:rRNA from 1 species